rnacentral:snoRNA from 1 species
AUUCCAUGGUGUGGGCAUGAAGCAACUAGUCUAUUGAAUCUUUCCCUAUAUUCAUAUAAGCUCUCAUAAGAAUUUUUUCAGAUUCCACUGAUUUCCUUUCUGAUGUU